GGAAGACAUAUGUAAGAUAUCUUUAGAAAUGCCCAAAAAAAAAAAGGAAUUAAGGAGUCCAAAUAAAUGGUCAGCUGCGGAAUGACACAUUAAUGUGUUGUUCAAACGGUUUAUUCUUGAAUGCCAAAUCCUUUGAUCUACCGACAAUUUACCUGUAAAAUUAUGUUGGCGUUCAAGGAAUAGGUGCAAGUAGUUAUUACAACAAAAAGGAAUGCUUAUCAAAACAAUCAUACUAAUUAAACAGAUAGGUAAAUACAGG
rnacentral:lncRNA from 1 species